rnacentral:rRNA from 1 species
GAUUAAAGUAACAAAGGGCACACAAGGGAUGCCUAGGUAGAAAGAGCCGAAGAAGGACGUGGUAAGCUGCGAUAAGCUUGGCGAAGUUGCAAACGAACGUAGAUGCCAAGAUUUCCGAAUGGAGCAAUCUGUAAAGAGUCAUGUCUUUACACGAAAGAGGGAACCGGGUGAACUGAAACAUCUAAGUAAUCCGAGGAAAAGAAAGUAACAACGAUACCCUAAGUAGCGGCGAGCGAACGGGGUAGAGCCUAAACCAUAUUCAUGUCAAGGAUGCAGCCGUUGUGGAUAUGGGGUAGCGGGAAAGAGAGAGAAAGAACUGCAAGCUAUUUCGCAGACGCAAGCAAAGGAACAAGAAAGAUCUGGAAAGGUCUACCGUAGAAGGUGAAAGUCCUGUAUUGGUAGUUUUCUUGCGCUGUAUCUCUUCUCCCAAGUAAUGUGGAACACGAGGAAUUCUGCAUGAAUCUGCGAGGACCAAAUCUCGUAAGGCUAAAUACUCUUUCUAACCGAUAGCGCAUAGUACCGUGAGGGAAAGGUGAAAAGAACCCCGGGAGGGGAGUGAAAGAGAACCUGAAAUUGUGUGCUUACAAGCGGUCAGAGCCACUUUGGUGGUGAUGGCGUGCCUUUUGGAGAAUGAUCCUGCGAGUUACGUUUCAUGGCGAGGUUAAGAAGAACGGAGCCGAAGGGAAACCGAGUCUGAAUAGGGCGCAAGAGUCGUGGAGCGUAGACGCGAAACCCGGUGAUCUAAGCCUGUCCAGGAUGAAGCUGUGGUAAGACACAGUGGAGGUCCUAACCCACCGCCGUUGAAAAGUUGGGGGAUGAGGUAGGUUUAGGGGUGAAAAGCCAAUCGAACCGGGAGAUAGCUCGUUCUCUCCGAAAUGCAUCUAGGUGCAGCCUUGCGUGUUUAAUGAUGGGGGUAGAGCACUGACUGAACUAGGGGGCAUAUAGCUUACUGAAUUCAAUCAAACUCCGAAUACCAUUAUUCAAGAGCGCAGGAGUGAGACCAUGGGAGUUAACUUCCAUCGUCGAAAGGGAAACAACCCAGACCACCAGCUAAGGUCCCAAAUCAUAUCUAAGUGGGAAAGGAGGUGGAGAUUCUUAAACAACUAGGAGGUUGGCUUAGAAGCAGCCAUUCCUUGAAAGAGUGCGUAAUAGCUCACUAGUCGAGAGUCUCUGCGCCGACAAUGUAACGGGGCUAAGAUAUGAACCGAAGCUGUGGAUGUCGUAAGACAUGGUAGGAGAGCGUUCUGUAGGCCGUCGAAGGAGGACUGAAAGGAACUCUGGAGGUAUCAGAAGUGAGAAUGCAGGAAUAAGUAGCGAGAAGGGGAGUGAGAAUCUCCCCCGCUGGAAGACCAAGGUUUUCAGGGUAAAGCUUGUCUUCCCUGAGUAAGCCGGGACCUAAGCCCAGGCUAGAAUGCGUAGGCGAAUGGAAAACAGAUGAAUAUUUCUGUGCCAGUUCUACUUUGUGAAGGAGGGACGCAGAAGGGUAUGCGCGCAGACGAACGGAAGAGUCUGUAGAAGCAUGUAGAGUGACUUGGUAGGCAAAUCCGCCAGGUUAGACUUGAGGUGUGACAUAUACUCGCAAGAGGAAUGCGCAAAUCCCACGCUGCCGAGAAAAGCUUCUAGCGGUAAAGUAGAGACUGCCCGUACUGGAAACCGACACAGGUGGUCAGGAUGAGAAAUCUAAAGCGGACAGGCUAACUCUCGUUAAGGAACUCUGCAAAAUGGCCCCGUAACUUCGGGAGAAGGGGUGCCU